rnacentral:lncRNA from 1 species
GAUAAAGGCAAGAAAAUUGCAUCCGAGAACCAGUAGACAGAGUGCUUCGAAAGUCUGCAUUCUAGACAUUGUGAGUAAACUUACUGUCAUUUUAAUUAUCUAGGGUGGUUUUUAGAUGAUUUCAUGAAUUCUAUGGAAAAAGGAAUUUAAAAAGGUAAAUUUUCAUGUUUUAUGAAUAAAUGUGUUUUAAUGAAUUAAAUUAUAAAUUGUUUUGAAAUUAAUAGUGAUUUUGAAAAAUAGAGUACACGGAGACUGUUAUUUGUGGCAAUUUGAUUGUUUAAAUUGAUUAGCUUAUGCUAAAUCGGGCAUGAUUGGCUAGUUGACAAUUUUAUUGAAAUGCGAAUUGUUUGAUUGCCUUGAAAGACUGUGAAUUACAAAAUUACCACAUCAUGUUAUAGAGUUUUAUUGUAUGGUGGAUUAUAUAUAUUAAUUAAUCACUGCAGUUGGGGGUUUCUGUGGACCAGCCUUUUAGAGGGGCACAGUAAACCCCAUUAUAUUCUUACCUCGAACGGAGAGGCGCGUAGGGUAUCUCCUGGGAUAAAGUUUAGGGUUCACUUCACGCCAAACCACCACAUGAGGGGAAACUCAGCCAACGCCAAGGAACGGCUAUGUUUUCAAAACAAAAACAUGAUUUAUGUGAAAUGUGAAUUUUAAUAGCCUUGGCGGUCUCGGUAGGAUGCCUCGGCCAAGGUGUCCCUGAGAAUGGAUUUAUGGCACAAGCCUAGUUUUUAUGAAAUUCAUAAACCUCUUUACAUAUUUUAAAUGAAAUGUAUUCUUAUGUUGUGACCCAGUUUACGAUGAUUUAUUUUAUUGUCUCCAUGUACUCAACUCUAGAUAUUUAUGAUGAUGUCUAUUUACUCAUUGGGAUUUUAUAAUCUCACCACCCUCCUUUCCACCCAUUUCAGGUUCAGUAUAGGCUGUAGAUAGCUGAUCUCAUCGAGGACUACCGUUGGAUCUGCAUUUUCCAAACCGUAGGUUCACAGUACUCUUUACUUUUGUUUAUUCGGGAGCCCUCUUGUUAUUGUAAAUUAAAUUAAAUAUUUUGGCUUACUGUAUUUAAGUCUGUAUAAAUUUAUUUAGCUUUUACGCUAUAAA